rnacentral:rRNA from 1 species
GGCGGCGUGCUUACACAUGCAGUCGAACGAGAAAGCCCCUUCGGGGGUGAGUAAAGUGGCGAACGGGUGCCUAACGCGUAAGAAUCUUGCCCUUUUGUGAAGGAUACCUCCGGGAAACCGGGGCUAAUACUGCAUACGUCCCUUCGGGGAGAAAGAUGGCCUCUUGCUGUCGCAGAAGGAUGAGCUUGCGUACUAUUAGCUUGUUGGUAAGGUAAAAGCUUACCAAGGCGAUGAUGGUUAGCCGGCCUGAGAGGGUGACCGGCCACAUUGGGACUGAGAUACGGCCCAGACUCCUACGGGAGGCAGCAGUGGGGAAUAUUGCACAAUGGGCGAAAGCCUGAUGCAGCGACGCCGCGUGGAGGAUGACGGCUUUCGAGUUGUAAACUCCUGUUAAGAGGGAAGAAAGACGUGCGGGUAAUAUCCGUACGGGAUGACGGUACCUCUAAAGAAAGCUCCGGCUAACUUCGUGCCAGCAGCCGCGGUAAUACGAAGGGAGCAAGCGUUAUUCGGAAUUACUGGGCGUAAAGGGCGUGUAGGCGGUUUAUUAAGUCAGUUGUUAAAGGCCAUGGCUUACCUAUGGAACAGCAAUUGAUACUGAUAGACUAGAGGGCAAGAGAGAGAAGUGGAAUUCUCGGAGUAGCGGUAAAAUGCGUAGAUCUCGAGAGGAACACCGAUGGCGAAGGCAGCUUCUUGGCUUGUCCCUGACGCUGAGGCGCGAAAGCGUGGGGAGCAAACAGGAUUAGAUACCCUGGUUAGUCCACGCCGUAAACGAUGAUCACUAGAUGUCGGUUUUGCUUAGCGAGAUCGGUGUCAAAGCUAACGCGUUAAGUGAUCCGCCUGGGGAGUACGGUCGCAAGAUUAAAACUCAAAGGAAUUGAC